rnacentral:rRNA from 1 species
GUUUGAUCAUGGCUCAGAUUGAACGCUGGCGGAAUGCUUUACACAUGCAAGUCGAGCGGCAGCGCGGGGCAACCUGGCGGCGAGCGGCGAACGGGUGAGUAAUGCAUCGGAACGUACCCAUUUGUGGGGGAUAACUAUCCGAAAGGAUAGCUAAUACCGCAUAAGUCCUGAGGGAGAAAGCAGGGGAUCGCAAGACCUUGCGCGAAUGGAGCGGCCGAUGCCGGAUUAGCUAGUUGGUAGGGUAAAGGCCUACCAAGGCGACGAUCCGUAGCUGGUCUGAGAGGAUGAUCAGCCACACUGGAACUGAGACACGGUCCAGACUCCUACGGGAGGCAGCAGUGGGGGAUAUUGGACAAUGGGCGCAAGCCUGAUCCAGCAAUGCCGCGUGGGUGAAGAAGGCCUUCGGGUUGUAAAGCCCUUUUGUACGGGACGAAAAGCUUUAGGUUAAUACCCUGAGGUCAUGACGGUACCGUAAGAAUAAGCACCGGCUAACUUCGUGCCAGCAGCCGCGGUAAUACGAAGGGUGCAAGCGUUAAUCGGAAUUACUGGGCGUAAAGCGUGCGUAGGUGGUUUGUUAAGUCUGAUGUGAAAGCCCUGGGCUCAACCUGGGAACGGCAUUGGAUACUGGCUUACUAGAGUGCGGUAGAGGGUAGCGGAAUUUCCGGUGUAGCGGUGAAAUGCGUAGAGAUCGGAAGGAACAUCCGUGGCGAAGGCGGCUACCUGGACCAGCACUGACACUGAGGCACGAAAGCGUGGGGAGCAAACAGGAUUAGAUACCCUGGUAGUCCACGCCCUAAACGAUGCGAACUGGACGUUGGUCUCAACUUGGAGAUCAGUGUCGAAGCUAACGCGUUAAGUUCGCCGCCUGGGGAGUACGCUC